rnacentral:rRNA from 1 species
UACGGAGGGUGCAAGCGUUAUCCGGAUUCACUGGGUUUAAAGGGUGCGUAGGUGGGCUAGUAAGUCCGUGGUGAAAUCCCUGAGCUUAACUUGGGAACUGCCAUUGAUACUAUUAGUCUUGAAUAUCGUGGAGGUAAGCGGAAUAUGUCAUGUAGCGGUGAAAUGCUUAGAUAUGACAUAGAACACCAAUUGCGAAGGCAGCUGGCUACACGAAUAUUGACACUGAUGCACGAAAGCGUGGGGAUCAAACAGG